rnacentral:rRNA from 2 species
UACGAAGGGGGCUAGCGUUGUUCGGAAUUACUGGGCGUAAAGCGCGCGUAGGCGGUGAUCCAUGUCAGAGGUGAAAGCCCGGGGCUCAACUCCGGAAUUGCCUUUGAAACGGGAUCGCUAGAGUCCGAGAGAGGAUGGCGGAAUUCCUAGUGUAGAGGUGAAAUUCGUAGAUAUUAGGAAGAACACCGGUGGCGAAGGCGGCCAUCUGGCUCGGUACUGACGCUCAGGCGCGAAAGCGUGGGGAGCAAACAGG